rnacentral:rRNA from 1 species
AGAGUUUGAUCAUGGCUCAGGAUGAACGCUAGCUACAGGCUUAACACAUGCAAGUCGAGGGGCAGCAUGUUGGUUGCUUGCAACCAAUGAUGGCGACCGGCGCACGGGUGAGUAACGCGUAUCCAACCUACCCUUGUCCAUCGGAUAACCCGUCGAAAGGCGGCCUAACACGAUAUGCGGUUCUCAGCAGGCAUCUAACGAGAACGAAAUGUGAAGGAGAAGGAUGGGGAUGCGUCUGAUUAGCUUGGUUGGCGGGGUAACGCCACCAAGGCGACGAUCGAGUAGGGGUUCUGAGACGGAAGGUCCCCCANAUUGGAACUGAGACACGGUCCAAACGUCCUACGGGAGGCA